UGUUUAACUGUAAGAAGAAAAAGAUUUCUCCUGUUUAACUAAAAAAAAUACUGACAUGAUGACAAUGUCUUGACUUGAAGGUGAAUUGGAUCUAAAUGAGACAGAACUGCACUCCUCCAGUCAUCUGAGUCCAGUGGCAAGCAAGACAAAGGACCUUGGAUGCAACACGUCACUGAAAGUUCCGAGGUCAAAAGCCAUCCCAGUCUUUUUCCAAGAUCUAUUGUCUCAUGGCCUUCUGGAGUCCUAUUCUUUCCAACUACCAAAAGGAGACUCACCAGAGAAUCUCACUGGAGUUUCCACCGUCACCUAAUAUUGUUCCCAGGCUCAGGAUCCACCACCAGUCAGAUCAAGCGAAUAGCCGACAAGUUGGAACUGCAAACUCAUGGUCCAUGCUGGUUUUUCUGUAGUGGGCAAUUCUAUUUUAAAACAUCCCACAUUGAGACUUUAAGCGACUUCCUUUAUAAUAAAAUGCCCCUACGCAACCCAACUUUUUCUUUUUUGUCACCCUCAGGAUUGAGAUUGCAGAGCUAAAAAGGAAAAAUUUGGCCAAAAUGGCAUCUUUACCUGUGAGCAUGAUGUUUCUGCCAGAACAUGAGCUCUUUGAGGACAAUAAUUGCUUUCAUUUAGUCUUUGAAUCCUUGGCACUGAGGACAGCGCUGGUGCAAGGUGUGGAGUGAAGAAGAUAG
ensembl:lncRNA